UUCGAUUAAGCCAUGCGAGUCGCGAGUCUUAGGGACUCGGCGUACCGCUCAGUAACACGUGGGUAACCUGCCCUAUGCUGGGGAAUAACCUCGGGAAACUGAGAAUAAUGCCCCAUAGUUCAUCACGCCUGGAACGGUGGGUGGAUCAAAGCUCCGGCGGCAUAGGAUGGGCCUGCGGCGUAUCAGGUCGUAGGGGGUGUAAUGUACCCUCUAGCCAUCGACGCGUACGGGUGUUGGGAGACAUUGCCCGGAGAUGGAUUCUGAGACACGAAUCCAGACCCUACGGGGUGCAGCAGGCGCGAAAACUUGGCAAUGCGAGAAAUCGUGACCAGGGAACUCCAAGUGCAUCGGGUAAGACCGAUGCUUUUCUUGACUCUUCAACGGUCUUGGAAUAAGGGGUGGGUAAGGACGGUGCCAGCCGCCGCGGUAAUACCGGCGCCUCAAGUGGUAGUCGCUUUUAUUGGGCCUAAAACGUCCGUAGCCGGUUUGGUACAUUCGUGGGUAAAUCAAGGCGCUCAACGUCUUGAAUUCUGCGAGCACGGCCAGACUUGGGACCGGGUGAGGUGUGGGGUACUCUCAGGGUAGGGGUAAAAUCCUGUCAUCCUGAGAGGACCACCUGUUGCGAAGGCGCCACACUAGAACGGAUCCGACGGUCAGGGACGAAGCCUAGGGGCACGAACCGGAUUAGAUACCCGGGUAGUCCUAGGUGUAAACGCUGUGGACUUGAUGUUGGGAGUGCUCCGAGCACCCUCAGUGUCGAAGCGAAGGUGAUAAGUCCACUGCCUGGGGAGUACGGUCGCAAGGCUGAAACUUAAAGGAAUUGGCGGGGGAGCACUGCAACCUGAGGAUUGUGCG
rnacentral:rRNA from 1 species